GCUCCAGGCUUAAAUCACACUGUUCCAGUCAAGAAAAAGCACAUCUGAGUUUGUCAUUUCAUUCAAUCAUGCUGCUCUGUGCAGUUGUAAUAUUUUCAGUACUUGCAGGAGACUCUCUUGGUGAUCUAAUAACAUCUCAUGGUUCUGACAAACAAGCUGAAGAUGGUAACAGUGUUACUCUCUCCUGCAACUACAGUGGUACUGUGUAUAAUCUACUGUGGUACCGUCAGUAUCAAAAAUCCAAACCAGAACUCCUUCUCUACAUGACUGAAUCUGGAGAUCCAGUUAAAGAAGAUCCAUCAGCAGACUGGUUAUCUGCUAAAGUUGACAAACUCACAAAGCACAUGGAACUGGAAAUCAGCCCUGCUAAAGUAUCAGACUCUGCACUGUAUUACUGUGCCCUGCAGCCCACAGUGACAGGAAACUCUUUUCCUCUGCACAAAAUCUUUCUGUAUAUUAGUCAUGCUUUUCAUUGAUGCUUAACAAGCACAUGUAUUCUACAUUAUGUAUUAUUUCUGUGACUGAAUUAUCCAUCAGCAACACAAGCCUCUCUUAAUAAAUCUAUAAGGAUCAAUACAACACAUAUUUACAUAGAUAGGUGGAGCUUAAUGUGUAAUAGAGCAGAAGAGCUCAAAGAGGCUUGACACAUCUACUUAUAGGUCAUUAAAUUCAAACUAGAUACAACAAUGAUCAUCAUCUGCUCUGUUUUAACAUUUGUCUUGAGUUAUGGUAAGCCACAGACUUUUGACACCUUUUAUUAAUUGUAUAUUAAUGUAAAGCUUUAUGAUUUUGAUAACACUGGAUUGC